AGUGAACGCUGGCGGUAGGCCUAACACAUGCAAGUCGAACGGCAGCACAGUAAGAGCUUGCUCUUACGGGUGGCGAGUGGCGGACGGGUGAGGAAUACAUCGGAAUCUACUUUUUCGUGGGGGAUAACGUAGGGAAACUUACGCUAAUACCGCAUACGACCUACGGGUGAAAGCAGGGGAUCUUCGGACCUUGCGCGAUUGAAUGCGCCGAUGUCGGAUUAGCUAGUUGGCGGGGUAAAGGCCCACCAAGGCGACGAUCCGUAGCUGGUCUGAGAGGAGGAUCAGCCACACUGGAACUGAGACACGGUCCAGACUCCUACGGGAGGCAGCAGUGGGGAAUGUUAGACAAUGGGCGCAAGCCUGAUCCAGCCAUACCGCGUGGGUGGAGAAGGCCUUCGGGUUGUAAAGCCCUUUUGUUGGGAAAGAAAAGCAGCAGGUUAAGACCCCGCUGUUCUGACGGUACCCAAAGAAUAAGCACCGGCUAACUUCGUG
rnacentral:rRNA from 1 species